GCGGAUGUGGCGGAACUGGUAGACGCGUAGCGCUCAGGACGCUAUAGAAGCAAUUCUGUGGAGGUUCGAGUCCUCUCAUCCGCA
rnacentral:tRNA from 1 species